ACUCAAAUGAAUUGACGGGGAUCCGCACAAGCAGUGGAGCAUGUGGUUUAAUUCGAUGCUACGCGAAAAACCUUACCAGCCCUUGUAUCCUCACUAUGAUUUCCAGAGAUGGAUUUCUUCACUUCGGGUGGGUGAGAGACAGGUGUUGCAUGGCUGUCGUCAGCUCGUGUCGUGAGAUGUUAGGUUAAGUCCUUCAACGAGCGCAACCCUCAUCCUUAUUUGCCAUCAGGUUAUGCUGGGAACUAUAAGGAAACUGCCAACGACAAGUUGGAGGAAGGUGGGGAUGAUGUCAAGUCAUCAUGGCCCUUAUGGGCUGGGCUACACACAUGCUACAAUGGUGAUUACAACGGGUAUGCAAAACAGCAAUGUCGAGCUAAUCCUUCAAAAGUCAUCUCAGUUCAGAUUGGGGGCUGCAACUCGCCCCCAUGAAGUUGGAAUUGCUAGUAAUCGUGGAUCAGCACGCCACGGUGAAUACGUUCUCGGGUCUUGUACACACCGCCCGU
rnacentral:rRNA from 1 species